rnacentral:rRNA from 1 species
CCUACGGGAGGCAGCAGGGGGGUUUUUUGGAGAAGGGCGGGGGGGUUUUUUCCACAAUGGGGGGAAACACGAGGAGGCCACCGCGUGAGAGAGAUAAUUUUUCUGGGGAUAAAAAACUUUUUUUUAUGGGCAGAAAAAGACGGUACCCCAGGAGGAAGCCCCGGGUAAAUAUGUGCCACAGCCCGCGGUAAUAUAUAGGUGGCGAGCGUUUUUCUGGAAUUUUCUGGGUGAAAAGCGUGUAGGCGGGGUUUUAAAUCUGAUGUGAAAUAUCCCGGGUUUACCCCGGGGGUUCAUUUGAAACAGUGUGUCUAGAGUGUUGGAGAGGGAAGUGGAAUUCCCCGUGUAGCGGUGAAAAGCGUAGAGAUUUGGAGGAACACCAGUGGGGAAGGGGGCUUUCUGGGCUGUAAAUGACGCUGAGGCGCGAAAAAGUGGGGAGCAAACACGAUUAGAUACCCCGGUAGUCCCCGCCCUAAACGAUGGAUACUAGGUGUUGGAGGAAUUGACCCCCUCAGUGCCGCAGUUAACACAAUAAGAUCCGCCUGG